rnacentral:rRNA from 1 species
CGUGGAGACAGGUGGUGCAUGGCUGUCGUCAGCUCGUGUCGUGAGAUGUUGGGUUAAGUCCCGCAACGAGCGCAACCCUCACCCCUUGUUGCCACCGGGUUAUGCCGAGCACUCUAGGGGAACUGCCAGCGUCGAGCUGGAGGAAGGCGGGGAUGACGACAAGUCAUCAUGCCCCUUACGCCCUGGGCGACACACGUGCUACAAUGGCUGGUACAAAGGGAUGCAAGACCGCGAGGUGGAGCUAAUCCCAAAAAACCGGUCUAAGUUCAGAUUGCAGUCUGCAACUCGACUGCAUGUAGGAGGAAUCGCUAGUAAUCGCGUAUCAGCACGACGCGGUGAAUACGUUCCCGGGCCUUGUACACACCGCCCGUCACACCACGAAAGCCUGCUGUACUCGAAGUCGCUGAG